CCCGGUCUCUGGGUCCCCCUCACACUCGCUGUCCAGACCCCUCUCGAGGAGGGGAGUCCUCCCCGUCAGACCUGCUGUCCCGAGCCCUCUCGGGGUCCUCUCUCUCCAGACCCCCUGUCCCAAGUGCUCUCUGCGACUCCUAAACCCUCCGUCCUGGCUCCUCUUGGCGUCCCCCUAUCAGAUCUGCUGUCCCGGCCCCUCUGGGGUUCCCUCCCUUCAGACCCCCUGCCCAACCCUCUGGGUCCCCUCCCUUCAGACCCUCUGCCCCAGCCCUCUGGGGUCCCCUCUCUUCAGACCCCCUGCCCCAACCCUCUGGGGUCCCCCUUCCUCAGAGCGCGUCCCGAGCCCUCUGGGGUCCCCUCUCCUCAGAGCGCUGUCCCAAGCCCUCUCGGGGUCCCCUCUCUUCAGACCCCCUGCCCCAACCCUCUGGGGUCCCCCCUCCUCAGAGCGCGUCCCGAGCCCUCUGGGGUCCCCUCUCCUCAGAGCGCUGUCCCAAGCCCUCUCGGGGUCCCCUCUCUUCAGACCCCCUGCCCCAACCCUCUGGGGUCCCCUCCCCUCAGGGCGCUGUCCCGAGCCCUCUGGGGUCCCCCCUCCUCAGAGCGCGUCCCGAGCCCUCUCGCGUUUCCCGCUCAGACCCGCUACCUCAGCAGCUCUCGGGGUCUCCUCUCCCCAGUCCCGACAAACCCUCUCCCGAACUCCCGCCGCUCGAGUCCUCCCGGACCUCACUCCGCCCAGGGUCCCCUUGCCUCGGCUCACUCUGUCACCGUCCCGCGCCCCAGUGCUCUCACCUCAGACCUGCUGUCACCACCCCCGGGCCCGGCGUCGCCGCCGCCUCCGCCGCUUCCUCUCCCACACUUGUUCCCGAGUCGCUCUUCUGCCGCUGGUCCCCCGGAGGAUGCCCGGGUCGGGUCGUUGAGUGCCGGGUCCGGCCACGCAGAGCCUCCGCCCGCGGUCUCGGGGUCGGGUCCCACUCUUUCAGGCAGGACCCCGCCGCCGUCGCCGCCGGGCGCCACACGGACCCUCCCGCAGCCGCCGCUGCUGCUGUCCGAGGUGCGGCUCCUGCCAGGGGUGGCCAAUCGCACCCGACUGCGCCGAGCGCGCUCCGCCCCACGGUCUCAGUUCGCCCGCCCCCUGCCCCCGACCACGCCCCCAGCUCGGCUCCAAUAG
rnacentral:lncRNA from 12 species